AUAGAGAAAGCUUGCUUUUUCUAGGCGUCGACCGGCGCACGGGUGAGUAACGCGUAUCCAUCCUGCCCACCACUUGGGGAUAACCUUGCGAAAGUAAGACUAAUACCCAAUGACGUCUCUAGAAGACAUCUGAAAGGGAUUAAAGAUUUAUCGGUGAUGGAUGGGGAUGCGUCUGAUUAGCUUGUUGGCGGGGUAACGGCCCACCAAGGCAACGAUCAGUAGGGGUUCUGAGAGGAAGGUCCCCCACAUUGGAACUGAGACACGGUCCAAACUCCUACGGGAGGCAGCAGUGAGGAAUAUUGGUCAAUGGGCGAGAGCCUGAACCAGCCAAGUAGCGUGCAGGAUGACGGCCCUAUGGGUUGUAAACUGCUUUUAUAAGGGAAUAAAGUGAGCCUCGUGAGGCUUUUUGCAUGUACCUUAUGAAUAAGGACCGGCUAAUUCCGUGCCAGCAGCCGCGGUAAUACGGAAGGUCCGGGCGUUAUCCGGAUUUAUUGGGUUUAAAGGGAGCGUAGGCCGGAAAUUAAGCGUGUUGUGAAAUGUAGAUGCUCAACAUCUGCACUGCAGCGCGAACUGGUUUCCUUGAGUACGCACAAAGUGGGCGGAAUUCGUGGUGUAGCGGUGAAAUGCUUAGAUAUCACGAAGAACUCCGAUUG
rnacentral:rRNA from 1 species